UUCCUCCUGAAGUCAGGACUACAGCAGUGCUCGGUCUUGAACAAAAAGGUUUUUGUUUGUGUUACGAGUCAGCGUAGUCAAUCCGUUCCCUUUUAUGCCUGGAAACGUUCCCAUUUUCCCAGGGGAAGAAGAACUCAGGCUACAGCUGUGGAACGUGUGUUUCUUCCAACCAGUGAAGACCGGACGCCAUUCCUUCAUGCUACUGGGUUCUUGCAGCUGUAAUUUACAACACAGCUGUCAUAUCUGUGACAUCUGGGCCAGCUCCUCUGUGCCCAACCUCAGCCCUGUUCAGUUUGCCCCUGUACCCCCAAUUCUCCCCAGUAGCCAUCCCUGAACUGCACUUUCUAACUGCGGGAUUGCCCUUGAGUUGGGCUGCUGGAUCCUCCCUCACCCUUGCCUGACGCAGGAAGACAGUCAUCCUCACAGAAGACGAAGUUCAGUUCCACAGCUCGGCCUCAGAUCACAAGGGCGUGAGGAUUAAAGAGAGGAUACCACAGUCGGCCUCAGUAAUGGAUUUGAGGAGCAGUGCCCGCCUCCUUCACCCCAUCGCUGUCUGUGAGGUGUGUUCACGCUGCUCGCCAGAGGCCCCAGUGGGACUCCCUGCAGCUGCUCCUCUGGGAACCAGGUAACUCGCCGGCACAGCCGCAUCUUCCUGGUCUUCUUUCUCAUUUUUCCUCUUCCCUUCCAGCGUGUCCCAGGAUCACCUUCCAAAGAGGUGACUCGAACCCAAAUCCUUGCCUCAGGGUCUUUUUCCAGGAGAAUUCAAAGUAAGAGAGUUCUGUAUGGUGCAUUGGAGAAACAGAUUACGCACGAAUGUGGUUGUCUA
rnacentral:lncRNA from 1 species